CUUAGAGGAGGGGAGAUAGGAAGACACACAUGUAAAUUUCCACCUCAGUUUGGAAACAGAUACUGCAAUCCCAGAAAAUCUUGCCAUAAGAAGAGCCUAGCCAAUAGUUUGACUGCGAUUUCAUGGGAGACCUCAAGGCAGAGUGAUCCAGAAUACCACAGUCUGGAGGCUAUGAAGUCCAUGAUUAAGAAGCCAGCACGUUUGCUUUCUGGUUCCAAGAUGGCAUACCUUUUUGCUGCUUCCUCCAGAGAGGAGGAACACUGUGUUCUCACAUAGUAGAAGAUGGAAGGAGCAGAUGCAGAUGAGCAUGGCAAUGUGAGAAUAUGUCAGAGGCCCCAGGAUGAAAUGAGCUCAAGUCCCUGAAAUCCCUGUUAGAAGAGUCUUUCCACUGGUUGGGAAUGCUAAUUGUAUUUUGAGAAAGAAAACAGAAUUUGUACUCAUAUCAGAAGGCAAUCAAAGAACAUACACAUAAUAUACAUUCUAUUAUAGAGGAGAAGAAAUGCUUACUGCCAAUACCAUGACAGAUAACAAAUUAUCAGGCAUGUAUCUUAGCAUGCAGAGAAGGGACUGAAUGAAUAUGCCCAAAGAUGUGUAACACUCAUUGUCUCUGGGGAGAUGAAGAAGAAGUAUGGAAGAAGUAAGAUGAAGAAGAAGUAUGGAAGAAGUAAGCUUUAGAACCAUGCAGAAAGAAGAGUGCUUCACAGAAUGAUUGCUUUAUGAAGCAUAAGGAGAAACAGAUGAACAUGUGAACAGUGAAAGAUCUUUUCCAUGGAACUGUGUUCAUCCUCUGAUUAAAACGAAUUGUGUAAAGUUGUAUAUUGUAUUUCACCCUUAGCAUUUGGAAAUGUGCAUGUAAUUUUGGUUUUGGUGCUUCAUUACAAUAAUGCGUAGAAAGAAAAAAGGUAUUUAUAGAAUAUUGCAAAAGCAAAUUUGUAGGAUAAAAUAUGUCUGGCCAUGUGUAUUAGAUACUAGUUAACUCAUAUCAUUACUUCAUUGGUACUUCACUAAAUUAUGUCACAAAAGCAAAUACAGGAUUUUCCAGAGCAUGCUUUUGGAAAAAUCUGAAGUUUUAUUGAGGACUCAUUAAUUUUCCCUGUCCCAUAACUUACAAUUUAUUUCACAAGCAUUAUAAACUUCAGAUCAUUCAGAUAUUGCAUUUUAGUAUUGUAAAUUAUAAGAAUAGAUUUAGAAUGCAUACUUUUUGAGGAUAGGUUGCUUUCCUUAAUGAAAGUAUCAUAUUUUUAGUUUACAGUGAAAUUUAAAGAAUGGUUUAUUAUUUGAGCUACAAUUGCAAAAACUUUAGAUAAUACAUUUAAACUUGGCAUUAGAAAGAAAAAAACUUUCUAAAUAGAAAAACUUUUCAACUUUUCUAUUUUUCAACUAGAAAUUUAUACAGUUAGAAUGUUUUUAAAGAAAAAGUUUUAUCUGUAAGGGAAGUGCUUACUGCCAACAUAUUUCACCAAAGCUUAAAUUCUCAAGAGGACAUGUCAUCCUUAUAAGCAAACCAUUCUGAUUACAUCAAUCACAUUAUAUUACCUUGGGUGACUGACUUGCAUGAGAAACCAGCAGUUGUGACUUGAAUUGCAAUAUGCAAGACAGUAAAAACCAUAUUUUACUUUAAAAUAUAUUAAUGUAUUACUUUUCCUAAUAAAAUACAUUGAAAAUUUUUAUCAGUAGCCAGGAAAUUAUAGAACUAGGCAGUUGUAUUCCUGAAGCACUUUCAGUGUUCAUGAUAAUUAAUUUGAGAAGUAGACUCUUAUCACACAGUAGCAUCUGUUGAACAUUCUUGUUUUUGGUAAAAUUAAUUUCUGACUGAUUCAUGAAAUAAAUGAUAAGGAACAUAAAUUCAGCUCUUUACUGUAUGACUCAUGUAACCUAUGACUUUUUGGGGGAAGUUUCACAUAAUGGGAAUACAUUAAGAAAUGUUUUAAAUAAAAACACAUAUAACUAACCUUUUCUCUUAGAUCUCAGGCUCUAUCUCCUACUGUUUCAAAGCUCUAUGAUUACAAAUAUUUUAAUAAGGUCAAUGUUAGUAUAUUAUAA
rnacentral:lncRNA from 10 species